rnacentral:rRNA from 1 species
UGGGGAAUAUUGCACAAUGGGGGAAACCCUGAUGCAGCGACGCCGCGUGAGUGAGGAAGUAUUUCGGUAUGUAAAGCUCUAUCAGCAGGGAAGAAAAUGACGGUACCUGACCAAGAAGCCCCGGCUAACUACGUGCCAGCAGCCGCGGUAAUACGUAGGGGGCAAGCGUUAUCCGGAUUUACUGGGUGUAAAGGGAGCGUAGGCGGCUGUGUAAGCCAGAAGUGAAAGCCCGAGGCUCAACCACGGGACUGCUUUUGGAACUACAUGGCUUGAUUGCAGGAGAGGCAAGUGGAAUUCCUAGUGUAGCGGUGAAAUGCGUAGAUAUUAGGAGGAACACCAGUGGCGAAGGCGGCUUGCUGGACUGUAAAUGACGCUGAGGCUCGAAAGCGUGGGGAGCAAACAGG